UCCGGCCUUAAGAGACUUGUUCUCACUUUUAAGCUUCACGCAUGUUGGAGUUGAUGAGUUUUUGGUGAAAAUCAGGUGAAAAUAUGUGUGUACAAGAAAUGAUAGAAGCCAUACCUAGGCAUGGUGCAAAGUAUGGCAUUUGUUGACUUGGAGAAGGCAUUCCUUUGCCUUUAAAAAGGAAGUUUGCUGGAGCUUGUCGUGUGUAUGUUUUCUGUGUAGUGAGACUGUGCAGAGAAAGUAAGAACUAGAGAUUGAGUGAGUUGUGAGAGAAAAAAUGAAGAAGAAGAAGAAAAAAUCUCUUGUUUUGUAAAUGUUCUGUAUUUGAAGUAGUGAAAUAUGUGUUUUACUUUUUAUUUUCAAUCUUUCUUUGUUGUGUUAUUGUGAAGCAUUUUGUUUUAUUUUGGGUAGAUCAUUUUUAGCUUUCUGUUUUUUCUAACAUGGAGUAUGAGUCUCCAUUUUCCAACAUGGUAUCAGAGCCCAAAUGAUCUUUGUGGGGCUUAUUUCAAGUUGUUUUUUGUUUGAGUGAAGUAUGGUUUUU
rnacentral:misc_RNA from 1 species